UACGGAGGGAGCUAGCGUUGUUCGGAAUUACUGGGCGUAAAGCGCACGUAGGCGGCUUUGUAAGUUAGAGGUGAAAGCCCGGGGCUCAACUCCGGAACUGCCUUUAAGACUGCAUCGCUUGAAUCCAGGAGAGGUGAGUGGAAUUCCGAGUGUAGAGGUGAAAUUCGUAGAUAUUCGGAAGAACACCAGUGGCGAAGGCGGCUCACUGGCCCGGUACUGACGCUGAGGAGCGAAAGCGUGGGGAGCGAACAGG
rnacentral:rRNA from 1 species